rnacentral:rRNA from 1 species
AACACGGAGCUUGCUCUGUGGGAUCAGUGGCGAACGGGUGAGUAACACGUGAGCAACCUGCCCCUGACUCUGGGAUAAGCGCUGGAAACGGCGUCUAAUACUGGAUAUGUGACGUGAUCGCAUGGUCUGCGUCUGGAAAGAAUUUCGGUUGGGGAUGGGCUCGCGGCCUAUCAGCUUGUUGGUGAGGUAAUGGCUCACCAAGGCGUCGACGGGUAGCCGGCCUGAGAGGGUGACCGGCCACACUGGGACUGAGACACGGCCCAGACUCCUACGGGAGGCAGCAGUGGGGAAUAUUGCACAAUGGGCGCAAGCCUGAUGCAGCAACGCCGCGUGAGGGAUGACGGCCUUCGGGUUGUAAACCUCUUUUAGCAGGGAAGAAGCGAAAGUGACGGUACCUGCAGAAAAAGCGCCGGCUAACUACGUGCCAGCAGCCGCGGUAAU